rnacentral:tRNA from 1 species
GCGAAUGUAGCCAAGUGGUCAAGGCAGUGGACUGUGAAUCCACUAUACGCGGGUUCAAUUCCCGUCGUUCGCC